rnacentral:lncRNA from 1 species
GGUGGGUGGAUAAGAAAGAUCAGGAGGUGUGGUUGGAGGCUGCUGCGGCUGAGAAGGCAAGACGGGGACAUGUGGGUGCUCAGCUUGGGAGGGGAGGAAUCGAGGCUGGAUCCAGGGCUGACCUGAAAGCUGGGUUGGAUGGUCUUCCCUGGCAGAGUGCCCCCCUGGGGAAAUGUGGCAGCAGGUGGCCCCGGGGAGCUGGGGCUCUGCGAGCAGACGUGCCUGGAGAUGAAUGCCACAGAGACCCAGAGUAACUGCAGUUCAGCUCGAGCCUCGGGCUGCGUGUGCCAGCCCGGGCACUUCCGCAGCCAGGCAGGCCCCUGCGUCCCCGAAGACCACUGCGAGUGCUGGCACCUCGGGCAUCCCCACCUGCCUGGAUCUGAAUGGCAGGAGGCCUGUGAGAGCUGCCUCUGCCUCAGUGGGAGGCCUGUCUGCACCCAGCACUGCUCCCCACUCACCUGUGCUCAGGGCGAGGAGAUGGUGCUGGAGCCAGGGAGCUGCUGUCCCUCUUGCCGCAGGGAGGCUCCGGAGGAGCAGUCGCCCUCCUGCCAGCUCCUCACGGAGCUUCGAAACUUCACCAAAG